rnacentral:rRNA from 1 species
AUGCAGUCGAACGGUGAAGCCAAGCUUGCUUGGUGGAUCAGUGGCGAACGGGUCAGUAACACGUGAGCAACCUGCCCUGGACUCUGGGAUAAGCGCUGGAAACGGCGUCUAAUACCGGAUACGAGACGCAACCGCAUGGUUAGUGUUUGGAAAGAUUUUUCGGUCUGGGAUGGGCUCGCGGCCUAUCAGCUUGUUGGUGAGGUAAUGGCUCACCAAGGCGUCGACGGGUAGCCGGCCUGAGAGGGUGACCGGCCACACUGGGACUGAGACACGGCCCAGACUCCUACGGGAGGCAGCAGUGGGGAAUAUUGCACAAUGGGCGAAAGCCUGAUGCAGCAACGCCGCGUGAGGGACGACGGCCUUCGGGUUGUAAACCUCUUUUAGCGAGGAAGAAGCGAAAGUGACGGUACUCGCAGAAAAAGCGCCGGCUAACUACGUGCCAGCAGCCGCGGUAAUACGUAGGGCGCAAGCGUUAUCCGGAAUUAUUGGGCGUAAAGAGCUCGUAGGCGGUUUGUCGCGUCUGCUGUGAAAACUGGGGGCUCAACCCCCAGCCUGCAGUGGGUACGGGCAGACUAGAGUGCGGUAGGGGAGAUUGGAAUUCCUGGUGUAGCGGUGGAAUGCGCAGAUAUCAGGAGGAACACCGAUGGCGAAGGCAGAUCUCUGGGCCGUAACUGACGCUGAGGAGCGAAAGGGUGGGGAGCAAACAGGCUUAGAUACCCUGGUAGUCCACCCCGUAAACGUUGGGAACUAGUUGUGGGGUCCAUUCCACGGAUUCCGUGACGCAGCUAACGCAUUAAGUUCCCCGCCUGGGGAGUACGGCCGCAAGGCUAAAACUCAAAGGAAUUGACGGGGACCCGCACAAGCGGCGGAGCAUGCGGAUUAAUUCGAUGCAACGCGAAGAACCUUACCAAGGCUUGACAUAUACGAGAACGGGCUAGAAAUAGUCAACUCUUUGGACACUCGUAAACAGGUGGUGCAUGGUUGU